rnacentral:rRNA from 1 species
CCAGCGUAUAUUAAAGUUGUUGCAGUUAAAAAGCUCGUAGUUGGAUCUCAGGGUGAGCUCAGUUGGUCGGCCUAAUUGGUCAGAACCGGCUGACUCUCCCUUGUUUCUGAAUCCCGGUCGGAGUUAAUUCUUCGUUCGUGGACUUCAGAUCGUUUACCUUGAAAAAAUUAGAGUGUUCAAAGCGGGCGUUUGCUUGAAUACAUUAGCAUGGAAUAAUGGAAUAGGACUUUGGUUCUAUUUUGUUGGUUUUGAGGACCAGAGUAAUGAUUAAUAGGGACAGUUGGGGGCAUUCAUAUUUAAUUGUCAGAGGUGAAAUUCUUGGAUUUAUGAAAGAUGAACUUCUGCGAAAGCAUUUGCCAAGGAUGUUUUCAUUAAUCAAGAACGAAAGUUAGGGGAUCGAAGACGAUCAGAUACCGUCGUAGUCUUAACCAUAAACUAUGCCGACUAGGGGUUGGGAGCGGUUUGUUCAUUGACCCUCUCAGCACCUUACGAGAAAUCAAAGUUUUUGGGUUCCGGGGGGAGUAUGGUCGCAAGGCUGAAACUUAAAGGA